rnacentral:rRNA from 1 species
UACGGAGGGGGCAAGCGUUGUUCGGAAUUACUGGGCGUAAAGGGCGCGUAGGCGGCCUGCUAAGUCAAACGUGAAAUCCCCGAGCUCAACUCGGGAACUGCGUCCGAUACUGGCAGGCUUGAAUCCGGGAGAGGGAUGCGGAAUUCCGGGUGUAGCGGUGAAAUGCGUAGAUAUCUGGAGGAACACCGGUGGCGAAGGCGGCAUCCUGGACCGGCAUUGACGCUGAGGCGCGAAAGCCAGGGGAGCAAACGGG